GUCUAAAUAGCUCAACUAUGGAGCGCCGCACUGAAGCUGCGGAGGAGGGCUACCUUUAGAUA
rnacentral:tRNA from 1 species